UGGCCCUAAGUCAAGAGGAAGACCAGCGGACUUAAGACCCCGAGAGUCGAUGCUGGAGAGGCCGAGGAGGGAGGGGCCACCGGUGAUGAUCACUGAAACUGAGGAGCGAGGGGCCACCCGUGACAAUAACUGAGGCUUAAGAGCGAGGGGCCACCCGUGAAGAUCACCGAGGCUGAGGAGCGAGGGGCCACUCGUGACAAUCACUAAGCCUGUGUGUCUGCACCUGGUUACCAAGAAUUUGAGCACUUCCAUGGCAAAGACUUUACCUACAGACCCAUCUCCUCAGUCCUCUGGUACUCACAAUGGUGAAGCCAUCAUGAUGGACUAGUGACUUAUGAAAGAGUCCCGGGGAGCUGCCUGAGUCCUCAACUGUGCAGGUACACAAGAGAAGGCACCAUGUACUAAUGAGAAAGUACACUCUUACAACCCAGAACCACUAGCACCUUGAUCAUGAACUCAACAUGGAAUUCCUCUGGAAUUUCUGACAAAUAAAUAAUUGUUGUUCAUAAGUUACCCAA